CAAAUUUUUAUCUUGGAUAAAAUUAUUAAAUUUUAUUCCUAUGCAUGAAAAACCAAUUAAAAAAAAUUCUUUCAGUAUAAAUAAUUUUUUAUUUAUAUACUAAAAUAAAGGAAUAGAUAUAACUGAUUAAUUAAGUGCCAGCAAUCGCGGUUAAACUUAAGGUUAAACUAAUUUUUUGGGAUUGUAGUUAACAUUUUUUAGAAAAAAAAAUUAUAAAAAAGAAUAAAAUCUAGUUUUAUAAAAAGUUCAAAAAAUUAGUGAAACUACUAAAUCUUAUAAAAAAAAAGGAUUUGAUACCCUUGUAUAAAGAAUAAAAAUUAAACCCAGAGUAAAAACAGAAUUCUGUUAACUCAAAAGAAAUGGCAGUUCAGUUGAAUUUUAGGGAUAUAUGAUUAUUUAAAUAUGAAAAUACACAAUUACCUUACUUAAAAUUUAGUAGAUUUUCUAUAUCUCCGUUUUAUAAAAUAUUUAUAAAUAAAAGUAAUAAAUUCUAAUUUUAGAAAAAAUUCAGGUCAAGACAGAAUUUUUUAAGUAUAAUUGUGUAUCAUUAUAAAAAAAAUGAAAUUUAAAUGAAAAUUUAAAUCAAAAAGAACUUAAAAGUAAUUUAUUACAGGAAAAUAUAUGAAUAUUAUCAACUGAAGGUACAAAUUGCCCGUCACUCUCAAUUAAAAUUGAGAUAAGUCGAAACAUAGUAAGUGUAUCUGAAGAUGUACUUAGUAAUAA
rnacentral:ncRNA from 1 species